UGUCUUCAACCUGAGGUUUCAUUUGAAACCCCAGGCCCGCCAUGUUAACCUCUCUCUCCCUCUCUCUUCGUCACACCAACUUAAAAUGGUAAGGAGCAGGUUGCCUUUGCUUUUCUCAGUAUUCAUCCGGCCAUUUGAGGUAAAGAAUUUAUUAUCUUCACCCCUUUUCACCAAACUGAACCCCAAACACGGUAUAUCUUCUCACUUUUUCUCUAUUAUUUUACUUUUUCGUAUAGCAACGGUAAAAUACACUGAGAAGUUUUAAUGGUUUUUGUUGUGUUGCAAGUUUGAAUCGACGAAUCUCAUUGGUUCGCCAGGACCGAGAAGAUCGACUCAUUUUUGGGUUAAAUCUAACCCUUUAUCUGUUCAUUUGAUUUUUCUUAGUCCUUGAUGUUUGUUGUGAUAACAUGCAAUUAAGAAAUUUCAAAAGUCCCACAUCAAUUGGAACUUAGGGUUUUAUGAUUUAGGGGUUCUAUUUAUAGAACCCCAACUUUGCAAAGGGAGGAGGAUCUGAUUUUUAUUUUUUUUACUUGCAUACACGAAAACUCUAAAACCCUAGGGUUUCAUUAUUUUGAGACCUUUAAUUUUUCUAAGUUAGUUAGUUUAAAAUUUUUGUGUCUUCUUUGUUCUAUUUGGGUUCGUGGUUGAGUUAAUAUGGGAGGAGAAGAUCUCCAAGUCCAAAUCUUGACUUAAGGCUGCUCCAAAAAGAGGUAAUUUCCUAUCUUUUUUUUUUAAUUUUUUCUGCAUAUUUUCCUAUUCUAUAGUUACUCUGUGUUAGCUUAUUGCUUUUCUGUACGGCUUGCAUAUUGUUGUUUUGAUCUGUGUAGUUAACAUGUUGGUAUAUUAGUCUAGUUUGUUCAAGCAUAUAAAUUACAUUUUUUGCUUUAGCUUAAUAGGAAGAUUAGGUAUAAGCUUAGUUGGUUGUUAAGUACAUGUUAGUUGUAAUCAGCUGAAUAAUGUCCAUAUUUUGUUUAAGAAGUUGAAACCUGUUUGUUAUGCUUAGCUUGGUUUAGUUUAGUUGUUUAUUGUUGGGGUUUUUAUCACUCGCCUUAGAUAGGCUCAAGUUAUGUUCAUGUUUGUUUUAAUAGUCUUAGUAUAUGAGGAUAAAUUUUGUUUAGGCCUGUUUGAACUAGUUUAGCCAUCUACUAGCUUUAUGUUAAAAUGAUUUUUGCCUGCGAUUAGCGUGUUCUCCAAACUCAUGUUAGUUCAAUUUAUUUAGCUUAACAUCUAUGUUUGUAUGUACUGACUGUUUUAUGGUCAACCUAUCUGCUAUGGUUACUUGAGUAUUCUGUCAGCAAAAUGAUGUGAAGUAUGAAGUAGGGAUGUACAUGUUAUCUAGACAUGCCUAAUUAUGGUUAAGUUCAUAUACAUGCCUACUUGAGUCUGUGUAUGCAAGUCUUCCCUGUAAGUUUGAGAAUCUGAGCAUGUGCUGUCAUUCUACAUGUCUAAAUCUCAGUCAAGGUCUAAAGUGUUGAGGCAAUUAGUUUAUAUAGACGUUUGUUUAGCUUGACUGGACCAUGUCUUUCAAUUGAUAAUCUAAUGUGCAAAAUACUAAAAUGUUAAUAGAUUCUGCACACAUAUUAUACAUUGCUGUGUGAUUAGUUGUGGGUGUUGUAUGGGUUGAGACCCUAUUGAUCAUGUUUAUAUGCCUAAUUAAUCUAUAACAUGUCUGCCUUAGAUUAGGUCACCUGGCUUCCUGUUAACAAUAUGAAACAUGAAGUCUAAAAGGGUCCAAGUAUGUUAUAGUUAAGUUCAUUUGUCGCUUCACAUACCGAUCAUGGUGAACUUGAGAGUCUGAGCCUAUGUUGUUACUCUAUGUGCUUGUUUCUGGACCUAAUUAGUUGGGUGUGUGGCCUCUUUGUGUUUAAAUGCUGAAACUAAGUUUUCUAUAUGGGUAUCCUGCUACUAUGGUCAUGUUUUUUGUCCAUUUGAUUGUCAAAGCCUACCCCUGCUUGUCUUAUCCUAUUUUGAAAGCUAGUUGUGACUAGGAAGCAUGUUAGUUGAACAUAGUGGUUGCAGCAUCUUGUUUGAUUGAGUCUGAUACAUGCUGGUGUUUAGAAUGGUUUUUCCGUGAGUCAACUGUUGUAUUACAAAUUUCUUUAAGUUAAGAGCAUAUGUGAAUAAAGCUUUCUGUGUUUGAUUGGAAUCUUGCUUAAGUCCUUCAAGGUUUUCUUUGUAAACUCUUUUAAAAGUGUCAAAUGUAAUCUGUUGAGACCUGCCUUCCUCUUUGUGCUUUCCUACUAUUUCCCUUAAGUGUCUUAAUGCAUACCUUGUUAAACUGUUGUCUACAUGUGGAGUAAUGCCUGUUGAAUGUAGUGCUUCCUUUAGGGAAAGCCCUUUUACAUAUUUAAGAUAGCAUCCUAAGCAUGCACUAUCUCUGUCCAGAUGUGAAUUUGUUUGUUGAAUGCAUAUGAGGUAUAUCAAUGUGUAUUUGAGUGAGUUUUUACGAAGUGGAUUGUGUGAAUACAUGUUGUACAUGAGGGAUAUACCCCAGUAUACUAGGCAUACAUGAUUGUCUAUAGUAUAUGAGGAUUUGUAUACUUGGUAUAUGGUGGGUAUACCACCCAUAUGAGUCCAUAAAUGUUGCCUUUGCUGUUAAGUUGUGUCUUGGUUUUGGACCUACUCCUCUAUGUCUUGUUGUUGACCCUUAACUUUAUUGAUUGUUAUGAAACUCUUUAGGCCUCAUUUCUGGGCCAUAAUUGCCUUGAUCUAAAUCUGUUAACCUCAUAUGACUUUUUUCUUUAAGUAUACGAUUAGAGUUUGGGCUGUUUACUUUUUUCAUUUCUUUUAAAGUUUGGUUCAGUUGGGCCAUCUGUAUUUGGGCCAGACCUUUGUGUCAUAUUAACUUAAUUAAUUAUGUGAUUGUAUACUCUGUGUGUGGAUAAGUAUAGCUAAGUUUCUUAUUGUAAGUUUAGUAUACCAAUCUUGAACACUCCUCUCCUAUGUACCAUGAGCUUAACACAUAAACGGAGAUGCCAAAUAGCUCUUAAGAAUUAAGCUUAAGCCUUCCCUAGUGUCUGUCAUGCCUGGGGUUCCUGGAAACCCCUUGGAUCUUGUGCGGCAUCAGGAACAAGAGGGUGAAAGCUUUCCUUUUUGGGUUAUUUUAGUAUCUCCAUGGGUGUGUAUAUCCAUGGUAUAUUGGCUGAUGGUUGUUUAUAUUUGUUUGUGUGGCAUUGCCUAUUUUUGUUCAAGAAGAUGAUCUUGUGGGCCUGUUUUUUUAUUUUUGAUGUUGGGCCUGCUUCUGUGCUGUUUUAAUUUAUAUGGGCUUUAAAGUUGUAAGUCUAUAGUUAUUUGCAAUUUUGGGCCUAUUUCUUUGCUGUUUCCAGUCUAUAUGGGUACGAAUGUCUAGUCUAGUUCCUAUUUCAUUGAAUGAUGUAUGUUGACACCCAAUUUUGACCCUCUUUUUUCCGUUUAAUUGAUUUCACUAUGCUUCUCAGUCGUGAAAAUUCCCCAAAAAUGAGUUUGGAAUAUUUCACUAAUUAUUACACUAUUUUUAAGAUAUUAUUAUUUCUCUGAAACUAAGAAAGAUUUCUAUCGUUUCUAAAAAUCACCGAAACAUCAUUAUUUAUAUAUAUAUAUAUAUAAUUAAAAAAAAUUAUUAUUACUAAACAUCAUGCUUUACAAUUAAAUCACUCAAAAAUAGUGUUGAUGUUCCCAUAUCAAUAUUGACGUUGGCAUUUUUCCUUUGAUCCUAUUUAUUACUAUGUUAAUCAUCGUUUAUUCCAUUUUAAAACUAAAUACGUAUAUUAAAUUACUUGUAUUAUAAUUUUCAUAUGUACAUGUUUGUGGGAAUUAAUUAGGACCAAGGAGCAUAUUUUAAUUAAUUGGUUGAAGUAAGAAGGGAUGAGAAAAUAAUUUAUCUACCUAAAAUUUGGGCCAAAUCCUAUUCCUAUCCUACAAAAUCUGUGGCCCAAAAACACCUCUAGCCCGAUUCCUACCGAACCGAACCGCCCCAGCCCAAAACCCCACUGACCCGACCCAAAUCUAUGUAAACUAAACAGCCCCCUAAGUCCCUAAUCGGUCCCUUUUCUCCUUCAAUCACCAACCCUAAUCAAACGCUCCUCUCUCUCUUUCUCUCCCAACGUCAUUGCUGCCACCCCACUCCCCGUCACUUCCAUCACUUCACCACCACCACAGCAAUAUCCCACGAAAUCCGCGGCCUUCUCUUUUCUCACAUUCCAUCUCUGAAAGCUUGCAGGCUCCAUGUGCAAUUUCAGCCGAUUUUAGGGUAAGUCCCAUCCCCAUUCUCAUCAUCUCAUCAGUUGAAAACGUCUCCCAGAAUUUCCCCCCUUUUCUUCAUUUUCGAACUUCGAAUUCGAGUUUUAGAAACCCCUCAAUAUUUUUCUAUAAAUACAGACUCUUGUGGGCUGUUUUGACAAGUUGAAAAAGGUGUAGAAAAUCCCCUAAGUUAACAAGGUUCAAGUGUUGGAAGUCCCUCUGGAAUAACCCCCCAAAAAAAUCUCAUCUGUUUUCUUAAAAAAAAAAAAUCUCUCUUUUAACUUUAAGUUUGUUUUUGUCGAAUUCUUGGUGGUUCUCGGCUAAAUAAGCUUUCCGAGCGGAUUCGAAGACUCGACGACGACAAUAGCCUCAGUUCGCUGUCCCAAAAAAGCAACUUUGGGAGCAUUUGGAGUUAUGACAACUCCGGAUUCUGCCCAUAUCAAAGAGCGGCCAGCAACAAAUUUAUUUGCUCGUGUCCAGCAGUCCCACCUCGUCCACGUCUCGAGUCUCCGUCCUUCUUCCUUAUUCAAAAUUUCAAGCCUCCAUAUUGUUUGAUACAUGCUGUUUAUAUUAUUUGACUAACACUCUUGUGAAUUUGUAUUUUCUGUAGUUUUGUUUUGAACGCCUAACUUGACUUAAGUAUAUUAGUAAGUUUAGUCAUUAUCUUC